GUUUCCGUAUGUUCAUGGAUUUGAGUGUUACUACACGGUAAUGCUACAUAAUAAAUAAAAUGUAUAUUCAUGGCAUACUGCGGUUCAAAACAUGCCGGCAAGCAGUUUCCAAAAGAUGGAGUUCUUCAGUAAACAAAACACACAAAAAACAAUCAUGGCUGAAACCAUAGAGAUGUAAACAUAGUCAACAUUUUCAUUACAGCAUGUCACAAACUCCAUGUGACUGUGAAAUGAAUACAAUAUGCUAAACAAAGCCAAGCGUAUAGUGAGUAGGCUGAAAUUGAUAUGCUGUAAACAAGAAGUACGAUAAGUGCCACAAGGGGGGAAAAAGUAGUGGAGUGCAGGGAUUGCAACAUGCAAGUGCCAUGAAAUAUUGUUCUGUCUGUAGUUCUCUGUACUCCUCUACAAACGUUGUCUUUCUAAUUUACAAACGUUGUCUUUAUAAUACAUUUCUGUUUUGCUCCAAAUAGCUUACCUUUACGCAUGCUGUGAGCUAACAGUGAUGAGCAUAGCUUGAGUGAGACAUUCAAAAAUACAUUCACAAGCACAUUUUGUGAGAUCUGCACCGUUCAAAUGUGGCCUGUAACAAAGGCUGGAACACCCUCCCCCCAUAAAAGACAUCCAAGGCAUUUGAGAAGUAUGUAACAAGCAUUUAUGAUAUUUUAGCUGAGAUGAUAGUUGUUGAAAAUUCGUAUUCUUCCCUGCAGUAAAUUGCGUUGCCAGUUGAACCUCAGAAAUAUCAUUGUUUUGGGUCUUCUGAGUCUUUUCAUUCAGUAUGACAGGAGUACAGAUACUGUCACUAGGACAUUAACAAGGCAAUUCCUGAAAAGCUAAUUUCACUCAUUCAUACGCCUUGUUAAUGUUAAUUUGACCUCAUGCAUCACUGCAUUUAAAAGUGUUUGAAGGUUGCUAUCUAUUUGAGGAUUAAUUUAAUAAUUUUGUGGGGGAAUAAUUUAACAAUAUAUAUAUAUUUUUUAUCUCUGGAUGAACCUAUUUAAAUCCAGUUGCAGACUAUCUUUCAAUCAUUGUGCAUGCACAACACCAAGUGUGAAUGAAAAAAAUGUAUUCCGUUAGUAGUUCAUAUGUGUGUACUUUUGCCCUCAAUAUUUGUCUAGAUAUCCUGUUUGGCACUAGAUGAAAAUGGAGGGAAAACACCAGCAAGAAUAUUGGCAGCGCGAAGGGAUGUUUUUGACAGAACGAAUGUACAACGUUACACAUACACUACCGGUCAAAAGUUUUAGAGCACCUACUCAUUCAAGGGUUUUUCUUUAUUUUGACUAUUUUCUACAUUGUAGAAUAACAGUGAAGACAUCAAAACUAUGAAAUAACACAUAUGGAAUCAUGUAAUAACCAAAAAAGUGUUAAACAAAUC
rnacentral:lncRNA from 1 species